rnacentral:rRNA from 1 species
UAAUACGGAGGAUCCAAGCGUUGUCCGGAUUUAUUGGGUUUAAAGGGUGCGUAGGCGGACUAUUAAGUCAGAGGUGAAAGUUUGCAGCUUAACUGUAAAAUUGCCUUUGAAACUGGUAGUCUUGAGUAUAGUUGAGGUGGGCGGAAUGUGUCGUGUAGCGGUGAAAUGCUUAGAUAUGAUACAGAACACCGAUUGCGAAGGCAGCUCACUAAACUAUAACUGACGCUGAGGCACGAAAGCGUGGGGAGCGAACAGGAUUAGAUACCCUGGUAGUCCACGCCCUAAACGUUGAAUACUCGUUGUUGGCGAUAUACUGUCAGCGACUAAGCGAAAGCAUUAAGUAUUCCACCUGGGGAGUACGACCGCAAGGUUG